UGACCUUCCUGCUGGUGAAGCCCAUCCAGAGUUCUCGAACCAUGGUGCACCUGCACCUGUGCAUCUGCCUUUUCCUGGGCUCAGUCAUCUUCCUGGUUGGUGUUGAGAAUGAAGGGGGCGAGGUAGGUUCCUGUCCUGACCUCACCAGAGCAUGGGGUCAAGUCCUAGGGGUAAGGUAGCCUGGUGUCAGGCCUGGGGCUCAGUGUGGAACCGGAACCUGAUGGAGCCCAGCUGCUGGGAUAUGAGGCGGUGGAGCCCAGUGGUCCUGCCUGGCUCUGCCUCUCCCUAACUUUCGGUACCCACAGGUGGGUCUGCGCUGCCGCCUGGUGGCUAUGCUGCUGCAUUUCUGCUUCCUGGCCGCCUUCUGCUGGAUGGCCCUGGAGGGUGUGGAGCUCUACUUCCUGGUGGUGCGUGUGUUCCAGGGCCAAGGCCUGAGCACGUGGCACCGCUGUCUGGUUGGCUAUGGGGUGCCCCUCCUCAUCGUGGCCAUCUCGGCAGCUGCCAGAAUGGACGGCUAUGGGCAUGCGACCUACUGCUGGUUGGACUUCAGGAAGCAGGGCUUUCUCUGGAGCUUUUCGGGCCCUGUGGCCUUCAUCAUUUUCGUAAGUAUUCUCUGGGUACUGGAGGCCUGAGCAGGAAGAUUGCUAACUACUUGCAGCCCUAUAACCUGAAAGCCAUGUUCCCCACCAGUGCAAUGCUGCCAUUUUUGUGAUCACUGUCUGGAAGCUCACCAAGAAGUUUUCUGAAAUCAACCCAAACAUGA
rnacentral:lncRNA from 1 species